AUUGAUUUACGUAAAGCAUUUGAUACAAUUGAUCAUUCCUUACUUUUGCAGAAAUUGGAACGUUUUGGUAUAAUAGGUGUCACACAAAAUUGGUUGGGAAGUUAUUUAAGUAAUAGGUUUCAGUAUGUAAAAAUUAAUAAUACUGAAUCACAGCUUAGAAGAAGUAAAGACUGGAUAGACUCGGCUUGUACUCGCUAGAAUUUAG